UACGUAGGGUGCGAGCGUUGUCCGGAAUUAUUGGGCGUAAAGAGCUCGUAGGCGGCUUGUCACGUCGGGUGUGAAAGCCCGGGGCUUAACCCCGGGUCUGCAUUCGAUACGGGCUGGCUAGAGUGUGGUAGGGGAGAUCGGAAUUCCUGGUGUAGCGGUGAAAUGCGCAGAUAUCAGGAGGAACACCGAUGGCGAAGGCAGGUCUCUGGGCCACUACUGACGCUGAGAAGCGAAAGCAUGGGGAGCGAACAGG
rnacentral:rRNA from 1 species